rnacentral:rRNA from 1 species
GACGUAGGGCGCGAGCGUUGUCCGGAUUUAUUGGGCGUAAAGAGCUCGUAGGCGGCUCAUCGCGUCUGCCGUGAAAACCCGCAGCUCAACUGCGGGCUUGCGGUUGAUACGGGUGGGCUGGAGUUCGGUAGGGGAGACUGGAAUUCCUGGUGUAGCGGUGAAAUGCGCAGAUAUCAGGAGGAACACCGGUGGCGAAGGCGGGUCUCUGGGCCGAUACUGACGCUGAGGAGCGAAAGCAUGGGGAGCGAACAGG